AACACAAACCGUCAACAACAAUUUGACACUCUAAAAUUUUUAGUAAACACAUAAAUUUGAAAGUGCAAAAUUUUUUUGUUAAUUUUCCACUUUAAUGACCUAAAUAUGCAGAUUCGUAAUUUGAAACAGAAAUGCGCGGAUUGUUUUAAGCCAACGAUGCGUCGCCUCGCCAACUUCGAGGCAAGCGACGAAUAUGAAUGCUACACCGAAAGCUAUAUUAAAUGCUUUUGGGGACUUUGUGACCACCAGAAGAGCAUGCAUGCCUUAAUUACGAAAUCUAAUUCUGAAGUCAUAACAAAAGCACCUGUAAGACAACACCCAACAUACAAGAACCCCGGUCUGAUUGGCGGAUUUAUUUAUAACAGCGCAUAAAUAAUGUGAAUAAAAUGAUAACAACAUAAAUAAUUUCGAAUUAAAAUUUUGUCAAAUAACAUCGUUCAGACUGUUU